GGAGGAGUGCAACAGUGGUCCACUUGGGCGGUUCGCUAAACCGCUGAGUCGAAAGACUCGCGUGGGUUCGAAUCCCACCUCCUCCG
rnacentral:tRNA from 1 species